rnacentral:rRNA from 1 species
UACGUAGGGUCCGAGCGUUGUCCGGAACUACUGGGCGUAAAGAGCUCGUAGGUGGUUUGUCGCGUUGUUCGUGAAAACUCACAGCUCAACUGUGGGCGUGCGGGCGAUACGGGCAGACUGGAGUACUGCAGGGGAGACUGGAAUUCCUGGUGUAGCGGUGGAAUGCGCAGAUAUCAGGAGGAACACCGGUGGCGAAGGCGGGUCUCUGGGCCGAUACUGACGCUGAGGAGCGAAAGCGUGGGGAGCGAACAGG